AAAACACUGGAUCCAUUUUCGACGUUCGUCUCUCUGACCUCCAACAUCAAACAUACUGCAGAAACACGCAAAGGCAGAAAGGAUUUCAAAGGAAUGACAAAAUGUCUGAGGAGCCAAACGAUCCCAGAUGUCAGUACUCUGCAUCUCAAGAGGUCCUGAAGUGGAGAAGGAAAGAGAGAGCAAAACUGUCCAUCAGCGAGGUCAGAUGCGAACAUCUGUGGACACUUUCAGGAAGGUUUAAGGGAAGCAGAUGUUGCCACGUUUAGGAGGAUGUUGUUGAAGAGUCUCCUCUGGCUCAGCAUGCGGCUCAGCAUGGACGACAGGGUUUGGAUCCUUUCUCCUACUUCUACUUUAGGAGCGUUUUGAAGUUAAUGUAGACUGUAAAAACUCUUUCCAUGCUGACAAAUACAAAAAAGGCGCUCAUUUUGAGCACGGAUGUACUUAUUGCAGAUGAUGGCACAGGACUUUCCUGCUGCUGCCUCCAUCACAAAGAACCGGUCACAGGCCGUGUUCUUCUGUCACUGAAUGAUUAUGGUCCAGAACCAAUGACACCAUUCUAGAUGGGUUUGCUUAGAACUGUGGGAGAUGACAUUUCUCAUGCUUGUUCUUUUGUCGCAAUCAUUUUUAAAUGACAUGACUUGUUUAACUGUCAGAAAAUGAACUACAGUUGUCAGAACUGAAUGCUUUUUAAAUAUUUAACAAUCGUAUCUCCAUUUGUUUGAAGUGGGCAGAUCUCCGUCUUACAUUUCUAUGAGAGUGGACACCUGAAUAAUUGCUUGAUGGAGUUUGCUUCUUUUAACAUCUUU